AGAACUCUCAGAGCCCAGCUCUGGAGAGUUCAAGGAUUCGAAAAUACCUCACUGCUCCCAGGAGCGGUUACCUGGGCACUCUGUGCCCUUUAUCCCUGUCCUGGUCCCUUCCUGGGGCCGAGGACCCACCAGUAGGACUCACUUGCCUUGAGCCUGCUGCCCACAUCUCUCACUUCACUUUGCUGGUGGGAUCUCUCCGUUGCUCCUGCCUCUGGAAGGAGUGGCAAGCUUUCCCACAAGUACCCAGACACCUGGAAUCAGCCUGGUGUUGAAACAAGUCCAAGGAUUUCUGUAUCCUACAAGCCCUGUGUUCUGUCCGGUGAUCCUGCCUUCAAUUUGAGGCACAGGUACCGCAGCAAACCAGUGCUGUGUGCUCGUUUUACCAGAAUGUCCAGCAGCACAGUGAUUGCAUGGAUCGUAAGGAUGCUCAGAGAAUCCCUGGAGGAGGACAUGGCCUCACUCUGUCUUUCAUGUGGGAGUGCAGCGGCAACAUCAGAGCUACAGCUUUGAACUCCUGAUCUCCAGCCACCUCAGCCUCCCGAGUAGCUGGGACUCUGGGUGCAUGUCACCAGAGCUGGGUAAUUUUUAUUUUUAUUUUUUUGUAGAGAUCUAUGUUCCUCAGGUUGGUCUUGAACUGCUGAUAUCAAGUGAUCCUCCCAGCUCAGCUUCCCAAAAGCAGUGAGUUUACAGCAUGAGGCAGCGCCUGGCCCAGAGUCACAUGUUAACAUCACCUCCUCAUAGCCAGGCUCCGAUUUUGGCAGUGACUGAAAACCCUAAGGGAAAGAUUCUG
rnacentral:lncRNA from 13 species